GAUCGAUCGAGCAUCGGAGCAGCCGAAGAAGAUGGUGAAGGUGGCGACCUACUUCGCGAUGACCUUCGGGGCCUUCCUCUUCUGGCAGUCCAUGGACAAGGUCCACGUCUGGAUCGCCCUCCGCCAGGACGAGAAGCAAGAAAGACUCGAGCGGGAACGUGAGAUAAAGCGUCUUAGAGAAGAUCUUCUAGCCAGACAGAAAGAUUCUCUUGUGUAAACCCUUCAUCUGCUGUGAAAGCUUAUGCUGAGAUGUUCUAAUAAUCUGUCAUUUUGUUCUGUUUCAAACAAA
rnacentral:misc_RNA from 1 species